CAGAAAGUGGAAUGAAAGCUCUCCAGUCUCUGGGCGAAAAACAGCAGGGGUUUUUGUGAUUGGUCCUUCUGGGAACAAUGACACUGGAGCGCGUGUGCUCGAGACGACUCCAUGUUUUACUUUCAGUGUUUGAACGAAUACAACAUCUCCCGGUUGGAAUAUUAUCGCUAUUUUACGAGAAAAAUCGCAUAUUUUUGUUUUUUAAACAGCAUUUGACAUGCUUCGAAGUACGGUAAUGGAAUAUUAAAAAAAAAAUUGUCACGAAACGCGCCGGCGCGUCACCCUUCGGAUAGUUACCUGAACGCAUGAACAAAACGGAGUUAUUUCAAUAUAACUAUGGAUUAUUUCUAACCAUAACAACAUUUGUUGUUGAAGUAGAAGUCCUGGGAGUGCAUUCUGACGAAGAACAGCAAAGCCGUUACAGAACCACCCACCACCAACGGACCAAGCAGCGUGGACGGGAGCAGCACCAGGAGUAGAUCAAGCAGCGUGCUCGGGAGGUGAUGGCAUCCUGGUCGCUGGAGGAAUUGGAGGGAAGAAUAGACUGGACUUGGGAAGAGCUAUUGGACCAUUGCAACAGCCUGCCGGGGAAGCAGGUGGAGGUGAAGAGGCAGCCCCAAAAAAAUGAUGGGGGGGGGCACACGGGGAGAUUGGUGGAGUCAGGCAUUAGACCUGAGCCAACUCCCCGUGCUUACCGGGAGCGGCGUGUUACUGGUCAGGCACCGUGUUAUGCGAUAGAGCACACGGUGUCUUCAGUGCACGCUCAUAGCCUGGUGCGCUACAUUCCAGCCCCCCGCAAGUGCCGUGCUAGAGUGGGCAUCCAGCCAGGUAGGAGUAUGCCUGCUCAGCACAUCUGGCCACCAGUGCGUCUCCUAGGCCCAGGCUACCCUGCGCCUGCUCUACGCACGGCAGCCAUCAUGCCUCAGCACAGCCCAGUUCGCCCUGUGCCAGCACUCUGCCUGUGCAGGGCUACAGUUACAACCCAGCCAGGAUGGGUUGUGCAGGCUGUGCGCUCCAGACCUCCAGUACAUCCUCAAGACCCAGUCUAUCCUGUGCCUGCUCCCAGAGCCAGGCCUCCUGCAUGUCUCCCCAGUCUGGUCAGUCCUGUGCCUGCUCCCAGAGCCAGGCCUCCUGCAUGUCUCCCCAUCCUGGUGAGUCCUGUGCCUGCUCCCAGAGCCAGGCCUCCUGCAUGUCUCCCCAGCCUGGUGGGUCCUGUGCCUGCUCCCAGAGCCGGGCCUCCUGCAUGUCUCCCCAGCCUGGUGAGUCCUGUGCCUGCACCCAGAGCCAGGCCUACUGCUAGUCCCGCCAGUCCGGAGCCGCCAGAGCCGCCAGAGCCGCCCGCCUGUCCGACGCAGCCAGAGCCGCCCGCCUGUCCUGCGCAGCCAGAGCCGCCCGCCUGUCCGGCGCAGCCAGAGUCGCCCGCCUGUCCGGCGCAGCCAGAGUCGCCCGCCUGUCCGGCGCAGCCAGAGUCGCCCGCCUGUCCGGCGCAGCCAGAGUCGCCCGCCUGUCCGGCGGCGAGGGACCCCGCUCUAGAGGCGCCACCUAAGUGGGGUAGGCCAGUGGUGGAGCGGGGUCAGCAUCCCUCUCCUGAGCCACCUCCGUAGGGGGGAGGAUUGGGAAGGGGGUGUAGCACAAGAACCGUCAUUGACGGUGGCCACCCUCCCUUCCCUCCCUUUAGUUUGGGGUUAUUGUUUUGUGAGUUUUUGUUUCAGGUGCAUUCGCAGUCUGCACCUUUGGGGGUGGGGGGGGGGGGUACUGUCACAUCCUGACCAGUAAAGGGGGUUAUUUGUUGUUGUAGUUUGGUCAGGGCGUGGCAGGGGGUGUUUUGGGGUUUUAUUCUAUGUCCUUUUUUCUAUGUUUUGUAUUUCUUUGUUUUGGCCUGGUAUGGCUCUCAAUCAGGGACAGCUGUACUUCGUUGUCGCUUAUUGGGAGCCAUACUGAG
rnacentral:lncRNA from 1 species